CAGCAGCCGCGGUAAUACGUAGGUGGCUAGCGUUGUCCGGAAUUAUUGGGCGUAAAGCGCAUGUAGGCGGUAAUUUAAGUCUGUCGUGAAACUGCGGGGCUCAGCCCCGUAUGGCGAUGGAAACUGGGUUACUUGAGUGCAGGAGAGGAAAGGGGAACUCCCAGUGUAGCGGUUAAAUGCGUAGAUAUUGGGAAGAACACCGGUGGCGAAGGCGCCUUUCUGGACUGUGUCUGACGCUGAGACGCGAAAGCCAGGGUAGCGAACGGGAUUAGAUACCCCGGUAGUCCUGGCCGUAAACGAUGGGUACUAGGUGUGGGAGGUAUCGACCCCUCCCGUGCCGGAGUUAACGCAAUAAGUACCCCGCCUGGGGAGUACGGCUGCAAGGCUUAAACUCAAAUAAAUUGACGG
rnacentral:rRNA from 1 species